rnacentral:rRNA from 1 species
CGGGGGGAGCAAGCGUUGUUCGGAUUUACUGGGCGUAAAGGGCGCGUAGGCGGCGCAACAAGUCACUUGUGAAAUCUCCGGGCUUAACCCGGAGCGGCCAAGUGAUACUGUCGUGCUAGAGUGCGGAAGGGGCUACUGGAAUUCUCGGUGUAGCGGUGAAAUGCGUAGAUAUCGAGAGGAACACCUGCGGCGAAGGCGGGUAGCUGGGCCGACACUGACGCUGAGGCGCGAAAGCCAGGGGAGCGAACGGGAUUAGAUACCCCCGGUAGUCCUGGCCUUAAACGAUGGAUACUUGGUGUCCGGGGUUACAUAGUCCCCGGGUGCCGGCGCUAACGCAUUAAGUAUCCCGCCUGGGGAGUACGGUCGCAAGACUG